ACCAGUGUUGGGCAAAGAAACAUUCUUAGGAGCAGAACUCUUCAGCUUAUAUUCACACCCCCGAAUUAACUUUUUCAUUUCUGCAAGAUUUUCAUCAGUAACCUUGCUGCAAGGUGCGACCCCGUUUCCACCCAUUUUUAACAAAUGAAACCUGACCCUAGAGUAUGAUCCUUUGAGUUGCAGACAGACGAAGGAGACGACGGAGCAGUUGUAGACGAAGAAGAGGGAGACGACGGCGCAGUUGCAGAUGGAGACGACGGGUCACGGAACAGUUGCAGAUGACGGUCAAUGGGGAUUCGUGAAAGUCUCCCAAGCAGAGUGAUUUCUGAGAGUUUCAAAUGUAUCCGAAAAGUAGGAUACACGUAUCUGGACAAUACGAUACGCGUAUCUCAUCAGUCCCAAACGUAUCCUUUCACUCCAAUACGUAUCGAACGCGUAUCAUCCGCGUAUCCGUAUCCUCAACGUGUCAGAUACAGGAUACGGUUGCUUUCUCGCAUGUCCAUGCAUCGUAGCUCAGUAAUCACAUGCUAUCAUUUUUCCUUGUUGAUAUCUUUUGUAUGCCUACCUAUUGUGCGGGUUCUUAGCCUAGUGGUCAUCCUGAAAUGCUGGAGGCUGCCACUUCUGCUCUACCUACUGGUGUUUUCCAACAGGCCAUGCAUUGGAUGGCCAUUGCACACACAUCAUCUGCCUCAUAUAAGCUCUGGAAAAGAAGAUCUAUUUGAAGAAUA